AACGCACCUUGCACUCACUGGUAUUCCGGUGAGUACGCCUGUUUCAGUAUCAUUGAAAACCCACAACCAAAAUCUUUGUUGGUUGGACUUGGGCUAUUCGUUUGGAAGAUUUGGUAUUAAUUUUUAAUGCCAAAAAUAAUUCCAAGCAGCCUGGAAUAUACUGUUGGUCAAUUUGUAUCGUAGUAAUCGAAAGACUUUGGCUUUAUAAACGAACUAGAGGGAAUUCAUUGAUUUGACCUUUGGUUUUAGCUAUUGUCAUUUUGUGGUUAUGGUAAAUCGAUCUUGGCUUAAACAACUCUAGCCAUUUCGGCUUUAGUUGGUAUACCAAAAUCAUUUUUUCAGUAUCGAUCUGAAAUCAGGUGGGACUACCCGCUGAACUUAA
rnacentral:misc_RNA from 1 species